rnacentral:rRNA from 1 species
GACGAACGCUGGCGGCGUGCUUAACACAUGCAAGUCGAACGGAAAGGCCCUGCUUUUGUGGGGUGCUCGAGUGGCGAACGGGUGAGUAACACGUGAGUAACCUGCCCUUGACUUUGGGAUAACUUCAGGAAACUGGGGCUAAUACCGGAUAGGAGCUCCUGCUGCAUGGUGGGGGGUGGAAAGUUUCGGCGGGUGGGGAUGGACUCGCGGCUUAUCAGCUUGUUGGUGGGGUAGUGGCUUACCAAGGCUUUGACGGGUAGCCGGCUUGGGAGGGUGACCGGCCACAUGAGGACUGAGGUACGGCCCAGACUCCUACGGGAGGCAGCAGUGGGGAAUAUUGCACAGUGGGCGGGAGUCUGAUGCAGCAGCGCUGCGUGCGGGAUGACGGCCUUUGGGUUGUAAACCGCUUUAGCCUGUGACGAAGCGUGAGUGACGGUAAUGGGUAAAGAAGCACCGGCUAACUACGUG